CCCUUAGAUGUCCUGGGCCGCACGCGCGCUACACUGAGUGUCUGAGAUACGAGUCUGCCUGGUCCGGCAAGGUCUAGGUAAUCGCUAAAAGACACAUCAUGCUUGGGAUAGAUUAUUGCAAAUAUUAAUCUUGAACGAGGAAUUCCUAGUAAGCACAAGUCAACAGCUUGCGUUGAUUACGUCCCUGCCCUUUGUACACACCGCCCGUCGCUACUACUGAUUGGAUGUUUAAGCGAGGUUCUCGAACUGCUAGCGACUUAGCUUCGGUGAGGUCGCAGUGUGGGAAGUGAACCUAGCUUUGGUGUCUAGAGGAAGUAAAAGUCGUAACA
rnacentral:rRNA from 1 species